AGCUGACAUCCAAAAUGGCACCAAAGGGGAAAAAAUGAAGUCUUUCUUUCGCCUUUCACUCGUCCCCCCUUCUUCCAAAGAGUUUAGUUUCGGCUUUAGAAGCAGCUGCCACACAGACAUUUAAGUUAUUCCACGCAGUAAAGACCAGGCAGAUUUUUCUCUGUCCGCUACAUCAAAUAGAAAGCUGGCUGCCCAGAGUUGAUUAACUACUUUCAUGCAAGAAUCUCGGGAAGCCAAGCAAAAGCAGACCUCACAUUUAUGAGUAGGAAUAUGCUGUCUCUCAGUCCCAACGCUUCACUCUGCCACCUUCCCUCGCCUUAAGUGGCGUUUGUCUACAGUCUGAGGACUUUGUUAGCUUGUUUUGUGUCCCUAACAGAGCUUUCUACCGAGCCCAAUAAGCGUGGUCCUAUGAGGGCUCCAACUAGCCAAAACCAAGGGAAGCAAAUAGGUAUUUUUCUCAGGCAACAUAACAAGGUCAUGGAGCCAGGUAAAUACACAGCAUUUUUCCAGGCGAGUUCAGGAGGGCAGCGAGUAGAUGGAACAUAUGGUGAUAGAUGGCCCAGCCCUGGUGGAUUUAAAGGCAAGAUGGUGCCUUGUGAAGAAUAAAAACACGGACACUGGCUCCCAAAUGUGCCACUACUUUCCCCUGCGUCCCCGUGGCUGGCUGCUGUCCCAAGCAUGUCAGUAUGGGGCUGGGAAAGAGCAGCGAACCCCUUUGCCUUGGGAUGGUGGGAACAAGAGCUCGCCCGCUCAGCUCCCUUCGGGGGCUUUUGGGAGUGAAUGCAAAGGCUCCCUCUGGGUUUCACUCCGCUGGACGGGCUCCAGCCACACACACACACACCCCUGGCAGGGGCUUCCUUCCCACACAAAGCGGCUGCCCACACUCCAGGAAACAGGAAUAAAGCCUUUGCUUUGAAUAUGGGGUAGCUAGGAAACAGCUAGCAGCCUGCGAAGACGGAAUUCCCAACGUGUAAAACGGAGCUAUUGAGAGAGUGCAAUAAGGCGUGAGGGGGAACUAAUCUCCCCAUUUACAUGUUUGUGGCAAUUUUAUCUAAAUGAAUUUUAAUGCUAAACGAGGGAUAAUUCCCUAUUUGUAACCCGUUUACUUCUCUUUCCUGUGCCCCCAAAGCCGCCUAAGAUCAUGCGAUGAACAAUAACAAUAAAAAUACUGUCAAGCAUA